rnacentral:rRNA from 1 species
GUGCUCCCCCGCCAAUUCCUUUAAGUUUCAACCUUGCGGUCGUACUUCCCAAGUGGCCCGCUUCACGGCUUCCCUACGGCACCACGGCAGUUCACGACUGCCGUGACACCUAGCGGGCAUCGUUUACGGCUAGGACUACCCGGGUAUCUAAUCCGGUUCGUGCCCCUAGCUUUCGUCCCUCACCGUCGGACCUGUUCUGGUAGGACGCCUUCGCCACCGGUGGUCCCCAGAGGAUUACAGGAUUUCACUCCUACCCCGUGAGUACCUCCUACCUCUCCCAGUCCCAAGCAAUGUAGUAUCCCGCAGACGCCCAACGGUUAAGCCGCUGGAUUUCCCACAAGACUUGCAAAGCCGGCUACGGACCCUUUAGACUCAAUAAUAUCGGCCACCACUCGAGCCGCCGGUAUUACCGCGGCGGCUGGCACCGGUCUUGCCCGGCCCUUGCUAACAGCCGUUUUUUAGACAGCUGGACAGACACCUAAUGUAGAUGCCACUCGAUGUUCCCCUAUCGCAAUUGCCUGCAUUGUAGAGUUUUCGCGCCUGCUGCGCCCCGUAGGGCCUGGAUUCGUGUCUCAGAAUCCAUCUCCGGGCUCUUGCUCCCACAACCCGUACUGAUAAUCGGCACGCCGGUACUUUACACCGGCGUCAACCUAAUCAGCCGCAGACCCAUCCAAAGGCGCCAGAGCUUUCAAUCAAAAAACCCUUCCAGUACUCUUGACCUAUCCGGUAUUAUCCCCAGUUUCCCGGAGUUAUCCCAGACCUUUGGGUAGGUUGUCCACGUGUUACUGAGCCGU